GACGAACGCUGGCGGCGUGCUUAACACAUGCAAGUCGAACGGAAAGGCCCUGCUUUUGUGGGGUGCUCGAGUGUCGAACGGGUGAGUAACACGUGAGUAACCUGCCCUUGACUUUGGGAUAACUUCAGUAAACUGGGGCUAAUACCGGAUAGGAGCUCCUGCUGCAUGGUGGGUGUUGGAAAGUUUCGGCGGUUGGGGAUGGACUCGCGGCUUAUCAGCUUGUUGGUGGGGUAGUGGCUUACCAAGGCUUUGACGGGUAGCCGGCCUGAGAGGGUGACCGGCCACAUUGGGACAGAGAUACGGCCAAGACUCCUACGGGAGGAAGCAGUGGGGAAUAUUGCAAAAUGGGCGGAAGCCGGAUGCAGCAACGCCGCGUGCGGGAUGACGGCCUUAGGGUUGUAAACCGCUUUCGCCUGUGACGAAGCGUGAGUGACGGUAAUGUGUAAAGAAGCACCGGCUAACUACGUG
rnacentral:rRNA from 1 species